rnacentral:rRNA from 1 species
UGCCUACGGGGCGCAGCAGUUAGGAAUAUUCGGCAAUGGGGGAAACCCUGACCGAGCAAUGCCGCGUGUGAGAUGAAGGCCCUAUGGGUUGUAAAUCACUUUUAUUUGGGAAGAACUGUAAGUAGAGGAAAUGAUACUUACUUGACGGUACCUUUUGAAUAAGCCCCGGCUAACUACGUGCCAGCAGCCGCGGUAAUACGUAGGGGGCAAGCGUUAUCCGGAUUUACUGGGUGUAAAGGGAGCGUAGACGGCGCGGCAAGUCUGAAGUGAAAGGCAGGGGCUUAACCCCUGAACUGCUUUGGAAA